AACGAACGCUGGCGGCAUGCCUAACACAUGCAAGUCGAACGAGACCUUCGGGUCUAGUGGCGCACGGGUGCGUAACGCGUGGGAACCUGCCCUUAGGUUCGGAAUAACUCCCCGAAAGGGGUGCUAAUACCGGAUAAUGUCUUCGGACCAAAGAUUUAUCGCCUUUGGAUGGGCCCGCGUUGGAUUAGCUAGUUAGUAGGGUAAAAGCCUACCAAGGCGACGAUCCAUAGCUGGUCUGAGAGGAUGAUCAGCCACACUGGGACUGAGACACAGCCCGGACUCCUACGGGAGGCAGCAGUGGGGAAUAUUGGACAAUGGGCGAAAGCCUGAUCCAGCAAUGCCGCGUGAGUGAUGAAGGCCUUAGGGUUGUAAAGCUCUUUUACCCGGGAUGAUAAUGACAGUACCGGGAGAAUAAGCGCCGGCUAACUCCGUG
rnacentral:rRNA from 1 species